AUCAACUCAGAGUACGCGGGAGUACCAGCACCCACAUGGAAUCCUGUUGCCUGCAAGGGGUGCAUUAUAGCCACAGGGCCAUUGCACUAGGCCCUCCAUGAACAUUUUGAAGUAUCCUCAUACUAAUUGCUUCUCCAUUGUCUUCAUGGCUACAGCUAUUCGGCUUCACCCCAGGAGGUUCCCUCCCUGACCCCUGAAUGCGUCUGAGUUUUCAGCCUUUGUGAAAAUUCUCUCUCCACCAUGUGCCAAACAAGGCACCUUGGGCUGCUUCCCCAACUUGUGCAGUUUCCUCACCCUAAAUGUGUUCCUUCAGCUCCU